UGAUAUUGUAAUUGAUCUCCAUUUACAAACCAGUUAGCGCAAGGCUCUCACGAGCCAUUCCCCUAAGCCCGAAACAGGAGUCGUUUCGGGCUAUUUUUU
rnacentral:sRNA from 1 species